rnacentral:rRNA from 1 species
GCAGGGAAUCUUGCGCAAUGGGCGAAAGCCUGACGCAGCGACACCGCGUGGGGGAAGAAGGCUUUAGGGUUGUAAACCCCUUUUCUCGGGGAAGAGAGAGGACUGUACCCGAGGAAUAAGGUUCGGCUAACUACGUGCCAGCAGCCGCGGUAAUACGUAGGAACCGAGCGUUGUCCGGAUUUACUGGGCGUAAAGGGCGCGUAGGCGGCUUAUUAAGUCUCAUGUGAAAUCUCCCGGCUCAACUGGGAGGGGUCAUGGGAAACUGGUAGGCUUGAGGUCAGUAGAGGAAAGCGGAAUUCCCGGAGUAGUGGUGAAAUGCGUAGAUAUCGGGAGGAACACCAGGGGCGAAGGCGGCUUUCUGGGCUGCACCUGACGCUGAGGCGCGAGAGCGUGGGGAGCGAACCGG